AUUGGAUUUAAAUAGCAUCUUGUGAAGGAUAAAAGUUCCGAAAUAAUGUGACUAACAGUUACUAUAACGGAGAAUGCUAAAUAUGCUUCCCUUAAACACUUAUGCUGUCAUGUGGAUGAUGUGUCACUUUAGCAAACAACAUUUAAUACCCUUUUUCAAUAUCAAUCUAAAAAUCAUGCGGUGAUUUGAAGAAGUUGAAGUAGUCUGUCUCUUAUAUAAACCAAACCAAAGAAAAGAGGAGAUUGCUUCAUGUGUCCUCGGCAAAAGAAUGUUAAGGAUUCUGGUUAUUAUGUCAUGAGAUAUAUGAAGAUUACUUUCAUGAUUGCAAUGUUCUGAAUUAUGAUCAAGGACAAAUUUAUGAAGUCAGAGCUCAAUUGACGCGUCAUGUUCUUCUCGUGUGAAUAUUGUGAUGCAUAAUUAUGUUUUUCGACUAGAAUUUCUCUAGAACAUUUUAAUUUUAUUUUAUUGGUUUGAAAUUAAAAGAAGUACUAUAUGACAACGAUACUUCUUUCUGUUUUCUAGUGUGUUUUUAUUGUACUGUGUAUUUAGGCAUAUAUGAUUUUAAGUUAUGUACGAGACAUCGAGACGUUUAUUUGAUAUGAUAGAAAUGAAGUUGGAUCUUAUAUAUAUUCAAUUUGAUUA